UACGAAGGGGGCUAGCGUUGCUCGGAAUCACUGGGCGUAAAGGGUGCGUAGGCGGGUCUUUAAGUCAGGGGUGAAAUCCUGGAGCUCAACUCCAGAACUGCCUUUGAUACUGAGGAUCUUGAGUUCGGGAGAGGUGAGUGGAACUGCGAGUGUAGAGGUGAAAUUCGUAGAUAUUCGCAAGAACACCAGUGGCGAAGGCGGCUCACUGGCCCGAUACUGACGCUGAGGCACGAAAGCAUGGGGAGCAAACAG
rnacentral:rRNA from 1 species